CUGUAGGUCAGUGUAUUAGUAGUAGAAGGCUGUGGGUCAGUGUAUUAGCAGUAGAAGGCUGUGGGUCCGUGUAUUAGCAGUAGAAGGCUGUAGGUCAGUGUAUUAGUAGUAGAAGGCUGUAGGUCAGUGUAUUAGUAGUAGAAGGCUGUGG